rnacentral:rRNA from 1 species
AUUGAACGCUGGCGGCAUGCCUUACACAUGCAAGUCGAACGGCAGCAUGGAGAGCUUGCUCUCUGAUGGCGAGUGGCGAACGGGUGAGUAAUGCAUCGGAACGUACCGCGUAAUGGGGGAUAACGUAGCGAAAGUUACGCUAAUACCGCAUACGACCUGAGGGUGAAAGCAGGGGAACGCAAGACCUUGCGUUAUACGAGCGGCCGAUGUCAGAUUAGCUAGUUGGUGAGGUAAAGGCUCACCAAGGCGACGAUCUGUAGCGGGUCUGAGAGGAUGAUCCGCCACACUGGGACUGAGACACGGCCCAGACUCCUACGGGAGGCAGCAGUGGGGAAUCUUGGACAAUGGGGGCAACCCUGAUCCAGCCAUGCCGCGUGAGUGAAGAAGGCCUUCGGGUUGUAAAGCUCUUUCGGCCGGGAAGAAAUCGCACAGGCUAAUACUCUGUGUGGAUGACGGUACCGGCAUAAGAAGCACCGGCUAACUACGUGCCAGCCGCCGCCGUAA